rnacentral:rRNA from 1 species
CCUACGUGAGACAGCAGUGGGGAAUAUUGCACAAUGGGCGCAAGCCUGAUGCAGCGACGCCGCGUGCGGGAUGGAGGCCUUCGGGUUGUAAACCGCUUUUGUUCAAGGGCAAGGCACGGUCUCUGGCCGUGUUGAGUGGAUUGUUCGAAUAAGCACCGGCUAACUACGUGCCAGCAGCCGCGGUAAUCGGUAGGGUGCAAGCGUUAUCCGGAUGUAUUGGGGGAAAGGGUUCGUAGGCGGUUCGUCCGGUUCGGUGGGAAAGUCCAGCGCUUAACGGUGGAUCCGCGGCGGGUACGGGCGGGCUUGAGUGCGGUAGGGGAGACUGGAAUUCCCGGUGUAACGGUGGAAUGUGUAGAUAUCGGGAAGAACACCAAUGGCGAAGGCAGGUCUCUGGGCCGUUACUGACGCUGAGGAGCGAAAGCGUGGGGAGCGAACAGGAUUAGAUACCCUAGUAGUC